CGGAGCAGAAUCGAGGGCACCCUCGCCAGGAAAAAUUAAGAAGGUUCGGUCUAUGGGCCUUGGCACGUGGUUCGCCUUAUGUGGAUAUCCCCUUUAUCGGACCAGUUAUACCGUUCAAAAUAAAGGACAAAAACUUGGAGCUAUAAUUUAAGAACAAAACAAGGGGAAGGAACUAU